rnacentral:ribozyme from 1 species
GAGAAAAAAAAGAAAAAGAAAAAAAGAAAGAUUUCCCACUUGCAAUUGAAUGGCAAUUCCUUUGUUUUUUCAUUUCUUUAUAACCAGUCCAAAACGCUUUCAUCGACUGAUUGUUAUGCAAAG